rnacentral:rRNA from 1 species
UACGUAGGGUGCAAGCGUUGUCCGGAAUUACUGGGCGUAAAGGGCGCGUAGGCGGCUUGCUAAGUCGGACGUGAAAUCCCUCGGCUCAACCGGGGAACUGCGUCCGAUACUGGCGAGCUUGAAUUCGGGAGAGGGAUGUGGAAUUCCGGGUGUAGCGGUGGAAUGCGUAGAGAUCCGGAAGAACACCGGUGGCGAAGGCGGUCUGCUGGGCCAAGACU